CUGUCCCUCAGGUUGUGGCAGGAGGACAUAUCUGUCUGUCCCUCAGGUUGAGACAGGAGGACAUAUCUGGCUGUCCCUCAGGAUGUGGCAGGAGGACAUAUCUGGCUGUCCCUCAGGUUGUGGCAGGAGGACAUAUCUGGCUGUCCCUCAGGAUGUGGCAGGAGGACAUAUCUGGCUGUCCCUCAGGUUGAGGAAGGAGGACAUAUCUGUCUGUCCCUCAGGUUGUGGCAGGAGGACAUAUCUGGCUGUCCCUCAGGUUGUGGCAGGAAGACACAUUUUUUCUUAAUCUUUCAUAGUUUCAAAUUCUUUGUACUGAAUAAUAAUUUGGGGAAAGAAAGAUUCUCUAAGGUCUGAGUUUUUGUCACAGUUUAAUAGGAAAUACAGCUCUGUCUCUACCUCUCCCCUGGAGCAGAGUGAGC
rnacentral:lncRNA from 1 species